rnacentral:rRNA from 1 species
CAGUAGCCGCGGUAACACAGAGGGUGCAAGCGUUAAUCGGAAUUACUGGGCGUAAAGGGCGCGUAGGUGGUUCGUACAGUUGGAUGUGAAAUUCCUGGGCUUAACCUGGGGGCUGCAUUCAAUACGUGCGGGCUUGAGUGUGGAAGAGGGUUGUGGAAUUCCCAGUGUAGAGGUGAAAUUCGUAGAUAUUGGGAAGAACACCGGUGGCGAAGGCGACAACCUGGUCCAUAACUGACGCUGAGGCGCGAAGGCGUGGGGAGCAAACAGGAUUAGAUACCCGGGUAGUCCCUGUCUCUUAUAC